UCCGUAUGGAGCAAGCGUUAUCCGGAUUUAUUGGGCGUAAAGGGAACGCAGGCGGUCUUUUAAGUCUGAUGUGAAAGCCUUCGGCUUAACCGGAGUAGUGCAUUGGAAACUGGGAGACUUGAGUGCAGAAGAGGAGAGUGGAACUCCACGUGUAGCGGUGAAAUGCGUAGAUAUAUGGAAGAACACCAGUGGCGAAAGCGGCUCUCUGGUCUGUAACUGACGCUGAGGUUCGAAAGCGUGGGUAGCAAACAGG
rnacentral:rRNA from 1 species